ACAUGCCUACAACAUAGCUCCAAUGCAUCAUAUCCCAUUAGAACUCUACAUUUAAGCGUGCUUAGGCUAGAGUAGUGCUGGGAUGGGUGACCACAGGGGAAGUCGUAGUGUUUUACAUGCC
rnacentral:rRNA from 1 species